CCUACGGGUGGCAGCAGUGAGGAAUAUUGGUCAAUGGGCGAGCGCCUGAACCAGCCAAGUCGCGUGAAGGAUGAAUGAUCUAUGGUUUGUAAACUUCUUUUAUAUGGGAAUAAAGUGAGGAACGUGUUCCUUUUUGUAUGUACCAUAUGAAUAAGCAUCGGCUAACUCCGUGCCAGCAGCCGCGGUAAUUAGGAGGAUGCGAGCUUUCUCCGGAUUUAUUUGGUUUAAAGGGUGCGUAGGUGGUGAAUUAAGUUAGAGGUGAAAGUUUGUGGCUCAACCAUAAAAUUGCCGUUGAAACUGGUUGACUUGAGUAUAUUUGAGGUAGGCGGAAUGCGUGGUGUAGCGGUGAAAUGCAUAGAUAUCACGCAGAACUCCGAUUGCGAAGGCAGCUUACCAACCUAUAACUGACACUGAAGCACGAAAGCGUGGGGAUCAAACAGGAUUAGAUACCCUAGUAGUC
rnacentral:rRNA from 1 species